rnacentral:rRNA from 1 species
GCCAGACUCCUACGGGAGGCAGCAGUGGGGAAUAUUGGGCAAUGGGCGCAAGCCUGACCCAGCAACGCCGCGUGAAGGAAGAAGGCUUUCGGGUUGUAAACUUCUUUUGUCAGGGACGAAGCAAGUGACGGUACCUGACGAAUAAGCCACGGCUAACUACGUGCCAGCAGCCGCGGUAAUACGUAGGUGGCAAGCGUUAUCCGGAUUUAUUGGGUGUAAAGGGCGUGUAGGCGGGAAUGCAAGUCAGAUGUGAAAACUAGGGGCUCAACCCAUAGCCUGCAUUUGAAACUGUAUUUCUUGAGUGCUGGAGAGGCAAUCGGAAUUCCGUGUGUAGCGGUGAAAUGCGUAGAUAUACGGAGGAACACCAGUGGCGAAGGCGGAUUGCUGGACAGUAACUGACGCUGAGGCGCGAAAGCGUGGGGAGCAAACAGGAUUAGAUACCCUUGUA